rnacentral:tRNA from 1 species
CGCGAAGCCGCCGGCACCAACGCCACCGGUCCCGCCGGUGCCGCCGGCACCGGUCGCAGCCCCACCAAGCCCGCCGGCCCCGC